AUGUCGACUUGCAUGCUGAUGUGGAGAUUAGGUUUGCGCUUGCCCGUAGCCUUGCAGCCCGGGCGACACGUUCCUGUGAUGUGCUGCUGGCACCGCCCAUCACGCAUCGUUUCUGAGGUUGGAACCGAGGUGGGUACAUUCGGGAUGAUCAUGGCUGCCGUGUCUACUUGGCAUGAAUAUGUUCCUGCCGGCAUUGCUACUGCUGAGGCGUAUGCUUGUCGUGACGGUAUAUUCCGCUGGGCCGCGGAGGACCUUUUUUUCGACAAAGGAGCCGUGGAGGAACUAUCAAGAAUAUCCUUGUUAAAACUGAUCGAGAGAGGAGCAGUGGAUUAUUUUGUAAUAUAA
rnacentral:rRNA from 1 species